CAAGCCUACUACAUACCUAGGCUGUAUGGUGUAGACUAUCACUCCUAGGCUAUAAAUCCAUACAGCGUGUGACUGUACUGAAUACUGUAGGCAACUGUAUCCCAAUGGUGCUGAACUUGUAAGACCACCCCCCCCACCAACUACAUAACGCUCAUGUCAUGGUUGAAGCUGUCUCACUCUAUGCCAUAGCAUGGGAUUUACUGCACUGGUGGCUCCCAGAGAAGGGAAAAAAAGAGUGAAGUCCCAGGAAUCUUUAAUUAACAUGGAAAAAGUUACAAGAUCAACAGAGACAGAGCAGGGCAAAGUAGAGGUUGGGGGAAGUGGGAAUGAAUAUGUAUACUUUCAAACUAUUUCUUACCAAACCUGCCUCUGGGAGCCGUGCAAAAGGAACAUCAUUUAAAGAGUUUAUUUUUGCUUCUUGCUGAGAUCUGUGUGACUGAAAUUCAGCCUUGUUUUUUUUUUAUCCUCCUGCUGUUUUUCUGUUAGUUCAGAACUGAGCAUU